rnacentral:rRNA from 1 species
UACGGAGGGUGCAAGCGUUAUCCGGAUUCACUGGGUUUAAAGGGAGCGUAGGAGGGCAGGUAAGUCAGUGGUGAAAUCUUCGAGCUUAACUCGGAAACUGCCGUUGAUACUAUCUGUCUUGAAUACCGUGGAGGUGAGCGGAAUAUGUCAUGUAGCGGUGAAAUGCUUAGAUAUGACAUAGAACACCAAUUGCGAAGGCAGCUCACUACACGAGCAUUGACUCUGAGGCACGAAAGCGUGGGGAUCAAACAGG